CUCUGGUUGAUCAGUGGCGAACGGGUGAGUAACACGUGAGUAACCUGCCCUUGACUCUGGGAUAACUCCGGGAAACCGGGGCUAAUACCGGAUACGAGACGCGACCGCAUGGUCGGCGUCUGGAAAGUUUUUCGGUCAAGGAUGGACUCGCGGCCUAUCAGCUUGUUGGUGAGGUAAUGGCUCACCAAGGCGUCGACGGGUAGCCGGCCUGAGAGGGCGACCGGCCACACUGGGACUGAGACACGGCCCAGACUCCUACGGGAGGCAGCAGUGGGGAAUAUUGCACAAUGGGCGAAAGCCUGAUGCAGCGACGCCGCGUGAGGGAUGAAGGCCUUCGGGUUGUAAACCUCUUUCAGUAGGGAAGAAGCGAAAGUGACGGUACCUGCAGAAGAAGCGCCGGCUAACUACGUGCCAGCAGCCGCGGUAAUACGUAGGGCGCAAGCGUUGUCCGGAAUUAUUGGGCGUAAAGAGCUCGUAGGCGGUUUGUCGCGUCUGGUGUGAAAACUCAAGGCUCAACCUUGAGCUUGCAUCGGGUACGGGCAGACUAGAGUGUGGUAGGGGUGACUGGAAUUCCUGGUGUAGCGGUGGAAUGCGCAGAUAUCAGGAGGAACACCGAUGGCGAAGGCAGGUCACUGGGCCACUACUGACGCUGAGGAGCGAAAGCAUGGGGAGCGAACAGGAUUAGAUACCCUGGUAGUCCAUGCCGUAAACGUUGGGCACUAGGUGUGGGGCUCAUUCCACGAGUUCCGCGCCGCAGCUAACGCAUUAAGUGCCCCGCCUGGGGAGUACGGCCGCAAGGCUA
rnacentral:rRNA from 1 species